rnacentral:antisense_RNA from 1 species
CUUGACCGACCCGAGCAGCAACGGUCGCUCCACCGGGCGGUCCUGCCCAUAGGUGGCAAGCAGCGCCUGCGCCUC